rnacentral:lncRNA from 1 species
AAAAAUAAUUAAGCGGCCUUAUUACAUUUAAAAACCCAAACCUCAACGUAAAUAAUAGGAUGUCCAGUUCACCAGAAGAAAAACCAAACUUUCAGAACGGGUGGCCACUCCGAAUUCUUUCACAGCUCCAAGCCCACUAUGGUUGGGGAUUUCCUGCGUGUAUGAAAAUAAAAGGGGUGAGUUUGGGGAACUCAGUGUGUAAGGAAAACCCAUUCAAAGCCUAAGUCAGCUCAAGCCUAUUGGGCCUAAGCCCAUUCAGGUAACAGUGGUACAGGACCAGAGCCCUUUUCAGAUUACAAUAAACUCGGCCUUAGCCCCUUAUUCAGAUAACAGUAUGGCCCAUAGGCCCAUUUCAAAAUACAUGCAACAUCAAUAACAUAUGCAAGCCCAUUUGGGGAGACUACUCAACCCACCAACCACUACACUCCACCCGUACCAGCCCUACACUUCAUGUGGGGAAUAGCUCAACCCACCCAGCCCAACACUCCACAGUUGCAGCCUUGCUGCUCAGUUAACAGUAAAUUGAGGCAAAGCCUCCAAUACGUGGACAAGCCACUUUCAGUACUUCCUCCGUCAAUAUCCCAAUCCCAUGCAUCAGAUAAUAACAACAUGGCAUGCAGUAAAUAACAACAGUCAAACAUGCAUUUAGGUCAAUUUAACCCUAGGGGUAUUUCGGUAAUUUACCUACUAGGGGUAAAACUGUAAAUUUUCCACUUUUAAAGGUAUUUCAGUAAUUUAUCUAUUUUAGGGUUUUUGAUGCAUAUUCCUACUUUUCACGUACUAACAGAAUCACGUACCGAGGGUUCUUACCGAAUUGAGCCCGUUGGCCCAUCAUUCCAAUUUUGGCCCAUUAAGCCCAAAAAUAUCGAGGGCACAGAAAUCAUGCACUUUGCAGUCCAAAUUUUGCAGCUUACCAAAAACAUUAAUCGAUUUACCUCACGAGCAUUCGCACACUCGCAAAUCUACAAAAUACCGGUUUUCAACAUUUCGACUUUUCGACUUUUGCUGAUCCAGACUAAGAAAGAGGGUGUUAGUUACACACCUGUUUGCGACGAUAUGCUGACGAGAUCCACACACGAACUGCCUUCAAUUGGAUUACUAACACAUUAAUCUAACUAUUCAAAUACGAACUAUGUAUUAACCCCUUACAAUAUUCGGCCAACCACACCUACAGAUCAUAGUAAGCUUAUAAGAAAUCAAUAAGCAACUCAUUAACAAAUUUUUGUCAAUGUUUACCACAUAAUCAUAAUCUCACUAGAAGUUGUCUUCCUGAACAAUAGUCACUAAAUCAUUUAUAGCUGGAGCUACGAAACUCCAAAUCAAGUACCGUUAAUUUUACCUGAAAAUAGACUCAUAUAUCUUCUAUCCAUAAAAUUUUCAUAAUUUUUGGUUUAGCCAAUCAAUACCAGAUUUUUCUUACAUUUUCCUAUGUUUCACUGUUUGACUAAUCUGACCACUCUUCAUUAUGAAUCAAAUUUCUCAUUGUACAGAAUUCAAAAUAUGUUCUCGUUUAUUUCAUUUGAAACUAGACUCAUUAAGCUUUAAUUACAUAAUUUAUUCACCUGCUAAAUCAUCUCUCACAAUUUAUGGUGAUUUUCCAAAGUCACGUUACUGCUGCUGUCCCAAGCAGAUUUAUUACCAAAUCACUCUUUCACACAUAACUUGCAUGCAUGUUAUUUAAACAUGUAUAUCACCAAUCAAUCAUCAUAUAUCUAUGAUUUUACUUAAGUAUAAUCUCCAUUUCAUCAUUUUAAAGCACAACAUGUUAGCCGAUUUUUCCUUUUGGCAUCUAAGGCACAUGCAUGCUCAUUUGUUUGGCUCAACUUCACCUAUCUUCCAUUUUUCAUCAAAAGAACAUGAAACAACAACCAUUUCCUUCAUUUUAAUUUAUGACUAAAUGCUCACAACACAACUAAAAACCAAAAUAUGCUUCAAGAGUUAAGGUAGAAUCAAGAAGAACUCAUGAACAUCAAGAUAGAAGCAAACUACCAUGAACUUACCUUCAAUUUUCUUCCCCAAGUGACCGAACAUUCAAGAGCUUUCUCCUCUCCUUUCUCUUCUCUAACUUUCGGCUAUGAUGAACAAAGAUGGACAAAACUUUGUUCUUUUCACCCCUUUUUCUGUUAAUAAAAUUUCA